GAGGAUAUCCGUUCAGGGAACCUGUUGGCGGGCUGUAUGUUGUGUCUUGCUCUCGCUCCUUGGCCCUCCCUGGGGAACGAAGGGGGGCGAUUGUGGGUUUUUUUAGUCAUGUUUUUAAUGUGUUGUAGUUAACCCGGCAGAGUCCCUCGUCCACACAGCUGGAGAUAAGGACAGGGGAGGAGUGAAAAGGUUCGCGUAGUGGAGGACGGGAGGGUGCAUGGAGGGAGGGAGGAAGAUGGGGAGAUGGGAGAAGGUGGUGGGGAGAGUGGGCCGGAACUUCUAGAUCCUUCUAUCUCUGGAAGCACGCACGCAGAUUAUACCUUCUCACGCAAGAACCAGUUAUCGUAGAGUUAUGUGGCAUGGAAACAGGCCUCUUCAACCCAUCACGCCUGUGCUGACGCAGAAGACAUCCCUGGGACACAAAGAUGGCCAGGAGAGGAGAGAGAUGUCAGUUCGUGGUAACUGUUCCAGUACAUCGAGCGAGCGAGCGGGCCGACCAGUCUUUGGACUGGAUAAUGGCACCAAUAAUGGUGGCACCCAUUAUGUGUCAAUAUAUGCAAAAAAUAUUUCACUGUGAAGUUGCAUAUGUCACAAAUAAAGCACCAAUGAACCAUU